rnacentral:rRNA from 1 species
UGGCUUGUGGAAGCGCCGUCGCUCAACGGAUAAAAGGUACCCCGGGGAUAACAGGCUGAUCUUCCCCAAGAGUCCAUAUCGACGGGAUGGUUUGGCACCUCGAUGUCGGCUCGUCGCAUCCUGGGGCUGGAGUCGGUCCCAAGGGUUGGGCUGUUCGCCCAUUAAAGCGGUACGCGAGCUGGGUUUAGAACGUCGUGAGACAGUUCGGUCCCUAUCCGCUGCGCGCGUAGGAGUCUUGAGAAGGGCUGUCCCUAGUACGAGAGGACCGGGACGGACGAACCUCUGGUGUGCCAGUUGUUCUGCCAAGGGCAUGGCUGGUUGGCUACGUUCGGGAGGGAUAACCGCUGAAAGCAUCUAAGCGGGAAGCCUGCUUCGAGAUGAGGACUCCCACCCACUUGAUGGGGUAAGGCUCCCAGUAGACGACUGGGUUGAUAGGCCGGAUCUGGAAGCCAGGUAACUGGUGGAGGUGACCGGUACUAAUAGGCCGAGGGCUUGUCCUCAGUUG